rnacentral:rRNA from 1 species
AACGAACGCUGGCGGCAGGCCUAACACAUGCAAGUCGAGCGGACCCUUCGGGGUUAGCGGCGGACGGGUGAGUAACGCGUGGGAAUAUGCCCUUCUCUACGGAAUAGUCCUGGGAAACUGGGGGUAAUACCGUAUACGCCCUUUGGGGGAAAGAUUUAUCGGGGAAGGAUUAGCCCGCGUUGGAUUAGGUAGUUGGUGGGGUAAUGGCCUACCAAGCCGACGAUCCAUAGCUGGUUUGAGAGGAUGAUCAGCCACACUGGGACUGAGACACGGCCCAGACUCCUACGGGAGGCAGCAGUGGGGAGUCUUAGACAACGGGGGCAACCCUGAUCUAGCCAUGCCGCGUGAGUGAUGAAGGCCUUAGGGUUGUAAAGCUCUUUCAGCUGGGAAGAUAAUGACGGUACCAGCAGAAGAAGCCCCGGCUAACUCCGUG